rnacentral:rRNA from 1 species
CACGUAGGGUGCGAGCGUUGUCCGGAAUUAUUGGGCGUAAAGAGCUCGUAGGCGGUGUGUCGCGUCGGCCGUGAAAACCUGCAGCUUAACUGUGGGCUUGCGGUCGAUACGGGCAUCACUGGAGUUCGGCAGGGGAGACUGGAAUUCCUGGUGUAGCGGUGAAAUGCGCAGAUAUCAGGAGGAACACCGGUGGCGAAGGCGG